AGUGAACGCUGGCGGUAGGCCUAACACAUGCAAGUCGAACGGCAGCACAGGAGAGCUUGCUCUCUGGGUGGCGAGUGGCGGACGGGUGAGGAAUACAUCGGAAUCUACUCUGUCGUGGGGGAAACGUAGGGAAACUUACGCUAAUACCGCAUACGACCUACGGGUGAACGAAGGGGAUCUUCGGACCUUGCGCGAUUGAAUGAGCCGAUGUCGGAUUAGCUAGUUGGCGGGGUAAAGGCCCACCAAGGCGACGAUCCGUAGCUGGUCUGAGAGGAUGAUCAGCCACACUGGAACUGAGACACGGUCCAGACUCCUACGGGAGGCAGCAGUGGGGAAUAUUGGACAAUGGGCGCAAGCCUGAUCCAGCCAUACCGCGUGGGUGAAGAAGGCCUUCGGGUUGUAAAGCCCUUUUGUUGGGAAAGAAAUCCAGCUGGCUAAUACCCGGUUGGGAUGACGGUACCCAAAGAAUAAGCACCGGCUAACCUCGUGCCAGCCGCCGCCGUAA
rnacentral:rRNA from 1 species